CCCACCUAGGACCCUGACAGGCACACCCACCCUUGUACCCCAGACCCCCUGCCCCCGCUCAAUUCGGGGAGGCAGCCCCCGACAGAGUGGGGCGCCCCAAGCGGGGGCCACCCGCCCCUAGGACACUCGGGCACCGGCCAGGGCCUGGGAAGGGGGCCAGCGAGUGUGCAGAUGGAGUCGUGGGGUUCUCCCUCCAGCUUUCUUUUCUGGGUUUGGAUAGUGGGGACCUGUUCCUCGGGGAUCCAAUACAGAGGUGACCCCAGAUUCUAGGGAGGAGGGAGAAGCAGCCGACACAAGGGGAGCUGGGGUACUCCAUGCGUCUGGGGCACCUCAGUCUCCAAGUGACCCUCUCUGGGGCUUUACUGAAAAGGAAAGAAUGAGUAUGGACCUUUCCGUGGGUUGAGAGCCAAGAGAAUCAGCCUUCCUUGACAUCCAGAUCUCAGGGAACAAAGGGAUUUAAACAAGCCGUGUGGAUGUUAGCUGCAGGGAUGGGCCAUCUUUCAUGAUAAAAAGAUGUCUGUUCCUGUGAAGGGAACACCGCAUCUUUUGGGGGCCAUUGUACAGGCGGCAGCCACUCCCUGGCGAGGAGGGGCCUCGGUCACCAUUGAUGGAGCACCAACUGUGUACCAGAUGUUGGAUCACCAGCCCAAAGAAGUUCUUUCUUUGCAUCCAAGUGGAAAGAAACUUUGAGGUGGUUUUUUAAAGUGGGCUGGGAACCUGACUCAGCACUGAGCAUGAUGCUGGCCUCUACAAGGAAUAUUGAAGGAUGUGAUACAAAGGCUGGUAGCAGAGAGAGACACUGAAAAACAGAAGAAAUUCAGGUUCAAGCAAAAGGAUGGAAGAUGUGUGUGUAGGCAGACAGUGAAGACUCAGGCUGUAUGACCU